AGGAAAGUAGGGGAUCGCAAGACCUUGCGCUUUUGGAGCGGCCGAUGUCUGAUUAGCUAGUCGGUGAGGUAAAGGCUUACCAAGGCUUCGAUCAGUAGCUGGUCUGAGAGGACGACCAGCCACACUGGGACUGAGACACGGCCCAGACUCCUACGGGAGGCAGCAGUGGGGAAUUUUGGACAAUGGGGGCAACCCUGAUCCAGCCAUGCCGCGUGAGUGAAGAAGGCCUUCGGGUUGUAAAGCUCUUUCAGCCGGAACGAAAAGGUUACGGUUAAUACCCGUGACUAAUGACGGUACCGGAAGAAGAAGCACCGGCUAACUACGUGCCAGCAGCCGCGGUAAUACGUAGGGUGCGAGCGUUAAUCGGAAUUACUGGGCGUAAAGCGUGCGCAGGCGGUUUUGUAAGUCAGAUGUGAAAUCCCCGGGCUUAACCUGGGAACUGCGUUUGAAACUACAAAGCU
rnacentral:rRNA from 1 species